rnacentral:rRNA from 1 species
AUUGAACGCUGGCGGCAGGCCUAACACAUGCAAGUCGAGCGGAUGAAGGGAGCUUGCUCCUGGAUUCAGCGGCGGACGGGUGAGUAAUGCCUAGGAAUCUGCCUGGUAGUGGGGGAUAACGUCCGGAAACGGGCGCUAAUACCGCAUACGUCCUGAGGGAGAAAGUGGGGGAUCUUCGGACCUCACGCUAUCAGAUGAGCCUAGGUCGGAUUAGCUAGUUGGUGGGGUAAAGGCCUACCAAGGCGACGAUCCGUAACUGGUCUGAGAGGAUGAUCAGUCACACUGGAACUGAGACACGGUCCAGACCCCCACGGGAGGACGCAGGGGGGAAUAUUGGACAAUGGGCGAAGGCCGGACCCACCCUUCCGGCGUGUGUGAAGAAGGUCUUCGGAUUGUAAAGCAUUUUAAUUUGGGAGGAAGGGAAGUAAUUUAAUACCUUGCUUUUUUGACGUUCCCAACAAAAAAAGCCCCGCCAAACUUCGUC